UACGUAGGGGGCAAGCGUUGUCCGGAAUCAUUGGGCGUAAAGCGCGUGUAGGCGGUCCGGUAAGUCAGCUGUGAAAGUCAAGGGCUCAACCCUGGAAUGCCGGUGGAAACUGUCGGGCUGGAGUCCGGAAGAGGCGAGUGGAAUUCCUGGUGUAGCGGUGAAAUGCGCAGAUAUCAGGAGGAACACCAAUGGCGAAGGCAGCUCGCUGGGACGGUACUGACGCUGAGACGCGAAAGCGUGGGGAGCAAACAGG
rnacentral:rRNA from 1 species